UUUCCUUCCUUCAUCACUCUCGGCUGAAACCUUCAACCAUACACCUGCUUUCAAAAUUUCAACUCAUUUUCUUGAAGAUCAUGACGAUUUCAAGCUAGUUUUGAUUCGGUUUGAAGAUCUAAAGGUGAUUCCAAGGCGAUUUCAAAGAGGAACAACCUCAUUAUCAUCAAAAAUCUCAUCAUAAUUCCACUUUCGUACUUUAAAGGCUAGUGUGAAGAUGAUUGUGUUAUGAUUAAGUACAUGAAUUCGGCUUCGAGGAUUUUGGCUUAUGUCGUCAUGUGGUUGGUGAUGCUUGUUGUAAUUAAAUAAUUAAGUUUGGACACUUUAAAAAACUGUCAUGGUGUGACAACUGGCACUUUUCCAUGUAUUCCGUACAAUAAUGAACAGUAAAUUGUACUUUGAUGACUGUGCAUGAUUGAAUUAACAAGACGAAUGAUU
rnacentral:lncRNA from 1 species